rnacentral:rRNA from 1 species
UACGUAGGGACCAAGCGUUGUUCGGAUUUACUGGGCGUAAAGGGCGCGUAGGCGGCGCGGUAAGUCACUUGUGAAAUCUCUGAGCUUAACUCAGAACGGCCAAGUGAUACUGCAGUGCUAGAGUGUGGAAGGGGCAAUCGGAAUUCUUGGUGUAGCGGUGAAAUGCGUAGAUAUCAGGAAGAACACCUAUGGCGAAAGCAGCUCUCUGGGACGGUACUGACGCUGAGACGCGAAAGCGUGGGGAGCGAACAGG